rnacentral:rRNA from 2 species
GAGACCUCAGGUCAGGCGGGACUACCCGCUGAAUUUAAGCAUAUCAAUAAGCGGAGGAAAAGAAACUAACAAGG